rnacentral:misc_RNA from 1 species
UCUCCGUUGGUGAACCAGCGGAGGGAUCAUUACAGAGUUUACAACUCCCAAACCCAAUGUGAACGUUACCAAACUGUUGCCUCGGCGGGGUCACGCCCCGGGUGCGUCGCAGCCCCGGAACCAGGCGCCCGCCGGAGGAACCAACCAAACUCUUUCUGUAGUCCCCUCGCGGACGUUAUUUCUUACAGCUCUGAGCAAAAAUUCAAAAUGAAUCAAAACUUUCAACAACGGAUCUCUUGGUUCUG